AUCCUGGCUCAGAUUGAACGCUGGCGGCAUGCCUUACACAUGCAAGUCGAACGGCAGCACGGGUGCUUGCACCUGGUGGCGAGUGGCGAACGGGUGAGUAAUAUAUCGGAACGUACCUUAUCGUGGGGGAUAACGUAGUGAAAAUUACGCUAAUACCGCAUACGAUCUAAGGAUGAAAGCGGGGGAUCGCAAGACCUCGCGCGAUUGGAGCGGCCGAUAUCAGAUUAGGUAGUUGGUGAGGUAAAAGCUUACCAAGCCGACGAUCUGUAGCUGGUCUGAGAGGACGACCAGCCACACUGGGACUGAGACACGGCCCAGACUCCUACGGGAGGCAGCAGUGGGGAAUUUUGGACAAUGGGCGCAAGCCUGAUCCAGCCAUGCCGCGUGCAGGAUGAAGGCCUUCGGGUUGUAAACUGCUUUUGUACGGAACGAAAAGACUCUGGUUAAUACCUGGGGUCCAUGACGGUACCGUAAGAAUAAGCACCGGCUAACUACGUG
rnacentral:rRNA from 1 species